rnacentral:miRNA from 1 species
CUGCAGCACCCAGAUGAGUGCUUGGCACCUAGUAAGCACACAGUAAACUCUUGUUGGGUGCCUGCUGUGUGCCAGGCAUGGAGCUGGGGCUUUUGGGGGUCCAAAGG